rnacentral:rRNA from 1 species
AACUAUUGUCUUUCCUGGAAGCUAAGCAGAGUCAGGCCUGGUUGGUACUUGGAUGGGAGACCACCUAGGAAGACUGGGUGCUGUAGCUG